rnacentral:lncRNA from 1 species
UCAAUUGUAACUAAAUGUGUAAUUUCUGUCCAGCAUGUGCGUUCACUUUGUCUGCAAACAAAUGAAAAGAUCUGUUCUAGUAUCUAGUAUAGACAGAUACAAAUGUUAUAUAAAGAAACUUAAUGUACCAAAGCUCAACUCGAAUAUGACCAGGAGCGUGUGCAACAUCAAACAAAAAAUUCUCACUGGCUGCUAGGAAAGCACUACAUUCAAAAAACUUAAACUGAUAUCCACACACACAAAAAAAAACUUGAAUUCCAGAACGAAACACAGGAGCUCCUAAUUGCUUUCACCUUCGCCCAUCACAUAUAAAUAUUGUACAGAUAGUGUCAUGGAGUUUCCAAGGUGGUAUAAAAAAGAAACAUAUGUUCCACAGGAAGUGCACAUUUUGAAAAACAAACGUUCAAGAGUAAAUGAAGAGUCUAGCCAAGAUUUUAACUAGUGAAAUCUGCACCACAAAUGAGAAGACAACAGUGUCAGGUGUAUGAAAAGUUGAAAAUCCAUGUCAGAUUAGAAAAGGAUCAAUCAACAACCAUCCAUUGGCAUUCCACGACCUUUUAAUCCAUCUUCAAGUCAUAUCGCUGUAGUUGACCUGACACUUGGAGCAAUGCAUGCUUUUCAUUGACUCCAUCCUUCCCUGCUCGGUGCAGAAAAAAGUGUUAGACAUUACAUAUUUACAUUCAACAACAAAGAGUUAGAUUCUCACGAGAGACGUAGCACAUCAAGGUCUAAAUGAAACAACAAAUCCCAUGCUAAAGCAGCGAAGAAUGAAAAUGUGUAUGGAAUGCAUUGGCAUUUAGAUGUACUAAGGAAAAGAGUGUUUGUGAAAAUGGUCCUGAGUACAGCAACAUAAUUUAGCAUGUGAGGCAGAGCUCGGCGACGGUGUGGCAUCCGCCGUCGUGGCAGAGCUCGGGCGGUGCUGCAGAAGUGGGCGCAGAAGGGGUGGUGCUCGGCGGCGGCGUUGUUGUAGGUGUCGCCGCUGGUGCCCGCAUCUGGUUCAAGAUGAGCACGCGCUCCGCCAUGUACCACGCCUUCGCCUCGUCGUCCACCGUCGCCGUGUCACCUCUCAUCAGGAACGCCAGAUCAGUGUUCCUUUUCUUGGCCACGACAUUGGUCUUGAGAAGGUCGAGCUUGACCUUCUGUUUCUGCAGAAUCACCGUCCACCUCGCGUCGGACUUCUCCUUCCUCAUGACGGCGCGGUCACAAAACUUGCGCUCGUCGGCGACUUCACCCUGCUCCAAUAGUUAUCGGAAUAGGCGAGCUUUCGUAGGGGACGUUGAGGUCGGCACUGAAGGCGGAAGGGCCACGCAGAGGAGGGCAGUGCGGGAAGGCGAUCUUGGGGUUGAAGCCGGCUGGGAGGAUUUCGCUUCGCCGGCGGAAAAAAAGGGCUCCUCGGUGGGCUCUUGGGGGAACGGCUGGAGAUGCCCUUAUGCCAUAGCAAAAUAUCAUACAACUGGACAAAUUAUUCAGCAAAAUAUCAUAGAACAACAACCUGUGGACCUCAUGUUCAGGACAAAUUAUUCAGAAAAAUAUAACAAUGUAAGAAGCCUUAAAUCUUCAAGCAGAAUCUCACUCUUGUGCCAACAACCACUUCAUGUUCAGGACUUGAACAGGUAGAUGAAAUUACUUGGUACUCAUGUACACUGUCAGACCAUAAAUUGCUGAAAUUUUGCUAUCAAUUGCUAGAAAUGUAGUAUAAGCAAAAUAUAGCAAUUUCAUUGAUUAAUUUUGCCGCGCCCCCUAUACAGAGAGAUAUAAACAUAUAUUCUACUGAAAAUAGAAUUGGCCACAACUCACAAAAUCAGCACAAACGGAACAAUGUAUUAGAACCAAAAUACAUAAUAAUAACACAAACUAGUAACAUCCAAAAGCAUACCUGAAGACUGGGGGUUCUCUUCUCCGGCGUCGGCGGAUGGUGGAGCUGGGCGCUGUGUGUGGCUGUGGAGGGG